CUCUCUGUCUGGAUCACACUGCUCCUAGAGCGUCACAUGACUGGCUCCUUCCCGCCACCAGGUCUGAGAUGCAAUGCUACCUAUACCUGGGGGUGUGUUAGAGUUGCAGGUGCCUGGGCUCCACCCCCAGAGAUUCUGAAAUGGCAGGUGUAGGGGUGUGUCUCAGGGGUCUGUUGCUAACAAGAUACCCACUGUUGAUGCCAGUGCCGGUGUUCCAUGGAACAUUCUGAGAAAGGCUGCUGUGAGAGGGAAGCAUGCCCCAGGGGUACCAGGGAGGAUGUGCAGGGCCUGAGUCUGUUGGGAUUCAAGGAAGUCUUGCAGAAGGCGUAGCAGCUGAGCCGAGGCUUGAGGGAUGUAGAGGAGGUGGUCAGGCCGACAAGACUAUGUUUUAGGGUCAUCCCACAACUCUGUGUGCUUCUUGGGUGUGAGCUUCCAAGUAACUUUUCCUGAACCCCUCACCCCAUCCAUCCCAGGCCCUGCUGGAACAGCCUCCCGUUGGGAACUAGAACUGAUGACAUUAUAUACGACCACCAUCCGAGCUUCUUGAGACAACCAAUCCCACAGGAAGUCUUAGAAAGCUUUUUUUCCCUCUAAAUGAUCUUUUUUAGUGUCUGUCACCCAGAGUUGUAGAGAUUUUAUAUCAUCUAUGAAAUCCUAUUAAGAUUUUAUUUCCUUAUUUUCCUUUUAUGAUGACUGGGAUUUCCUUCCUGAGAGAAGGCUUCAGGAAGUGGCCGUGCCUUGGCAGGAGCCAGGCCCUGGGGAGGGUGUGUUGCUGAGGCAGCCGCAGCCUCCGUGGCAGAGUUGCUGACAGGCAUUCAGAGCUGGCAGCAUCCUUCAAGGUCCUGUGGCCCAUUUUCCCCCUGAAGGUAUCCUCUCUAGAGCUUUGAGCAUCCCAUGACCCAAGAGAGGCAGUGAUGGAGCUUUGGAGUCAGGUGACAGUCUCCUUUUAGAUACAUUCAAUCAGUCGUGGAUCCACCUUGGAGCACUAGCACCAACUCACAGAAGGGCAUCUCGAAACCACCUGUUGCAUGGCUGCCUGCUUCAUUCCAGACACAAGAGGCAGAACCCAAAUUUAUCCAGGUUACCAGGUUGGAGUUAAACCUGAGACCACGUUAAUAAACCUCCAUCUGUUUUACUCGCUCUGGCCCUGCCUAGAUGGGCCUCUAAACAGUCCUCCCAGUCUUGUUGGGGAGUCCCUUGUGUGCUUAGGAGUGUCUCUUUCCCCACAUAAUGGAGUUGGCCAAGUUCUUUCUCUCCAGCUCCUCCUUUCCUGCUGACACUCGCAGUCCAUGCACCAUGGAGAAGGACCUCACUACUCUGCCUGCUGCUGGGAUGGCCCACAAGAAUGCAAUUCCCAUGUUCAAUGUGCAUUAGCCCAGACAUUGGUACCAGUCCUUGGUAUCCCGUUGAUUAAACUGCAUUUAAUCUGGUGCAGAA